rnacentral:tRNA from 2 species
GGAGAGAUGGCAGAGUGGUUGAAUGCGGCGGUCUUGAAAACCGUUGAGGGGCAACUCCUCCCAGGGUUCGAAUCCCUGUCUCUCCG